GCUCACGCUGUUGAUCACUGGAAUGUCUGGUCCGACUCGAUUAUUUACAGCUCGCCGACAUAUAGCUGGAAUAUUGCUGAGUGCGGCGUUAAACAACAACCAAACCAAAUACUCCGGAAUUGGGGUAAAUAUUAGUUGAUGCGCACAUAAAAUGUGUAUUUACUGAAGGCUGGCGCGCAAGUGAAUAGUUGAAUUAUUUUAACUUUGACCAACAUAUUUCUAAUGAAGACCAGUGGAGGUAUUCUGUUGGGAUGCACGUCCAGGUCGAUAUGCCAUGUGAAGUUAGUAUGAAGUUCCUUCAUAAAGGAACCAAGAGGUGUCAUCAUUUUCAGCUUCGGCGUAUAGCAUUAUAAUACACAUACAUACGUGUCAGGAUUCAUACAUUGGCAACGUAUUCUGUCAUGGAUUGUUCGUAAUAUGAGUAUCCCCGUUAAGUGGUAUGCAAUCGUAUGUGAAUAUAGUAUGUAAGUGAGUGAGUAUGCUGACACUAUCAACAAUUACGGACUUUCAUCUGUUUUUUGGUAGUAGGUACUAGGUACCUGCUUUCCGCUUUUAAAGAAAUGUACAUAAUCAUAUGCAUUGUGUGAUUACGUGGUUGCAGUUGUGCUUACAGUCAAUGUAUCUAUUUAAUUUGUUUUAUAAGUCAAUUAUUACUUUAAGUAGCGAGGAAUACAGUCGCUAUAUGAAGAUCCGGGUUAGGAUUGGUCUUCAAAAUCCCAUGCUUGUUGUAAGAUGCUUGUUGGUCAGGCUCAUUAACUUGGGUGAAACGUGUUAUCAUAUCCCAAUAUAUUCCACUUGUGUAGAUCGAUGCGCACGAUGUUGAUCACUGGAUUGUCUUGUCCAGACUCGAUAAUUUACGGACCGCCGCCAUAUAGCUGGAAUAUUGCUGAGUGCGGCGUAAAAAACAAAAACAGCAACACUACUCCAAACAGCCACAUAUGUUACAUGCUCAUGUUCCCCUGAGAGAUAAAAAUUAAAAGAAGCGGAAAAGGACGCCCACAUCAACAGGAUAAGCCUAUUUCAAAUAGUAACUGAUUACAUCGCUGUUUUUCAGUGUGUUGAGCCAGAAUAAAGGUGACAUUAGCCUUCAAAAUUUCUAGUGUCAUUGUGCGAUAUCACUUUGUUGUUUUACAUGUAGUUUUUUGGUUAGCUGUUUGUAGUGUGCUGCAUAUGGAGAUUUUCUGUUCAGACAAGGUUCUCUUUUGAACCUUUGCUUUUUAUGACAUAGACCUCUCAACUCCAAAUUCCACAAAAGUGAAAUACAUGUAUGAUGACAUUUUGUAAAGUUAUUUCUAUUUCGUUAUAUAUAUGUUACUUGAAAAAAACAAUCAUAGUUUUCUGCGGAAAUUGAUCCAUCUUCUUGGAUCAUACCGUAAGUGAUGUAUCAGAGGGUAUGUCUGAAAUAAUCGUUGACUCUGCUUAUACUUUGUCCGGAUUUGUUUGCAUUUCAAGUUGUAAAUCUAUCCAUGUAUUUUAUUUUCUACUCUAAUCAUUUACAAUUAACUGUAAAAACAUGUUAUUUGACCUACAAUCCACAUUCUAGGUGUUGACAAGUAUCAGACGUUGUACUCUGUAACAUAAUUGAUGUGUAUACAUUGUAUUUGGCAUGUUUUUUGUGUUGUCAUUAUUACAUCGUACAUCAAUACAAAAGCAAACUGCAUA
rnacentral:lncRNA from 1 species